rnacentral:lncRNA from 1 species
UGGUGUGAACUAUAUAUAUUGAAUUUUUAAGAUGGAGUGUCUUUUAAAGGCAUGGAAUGGCCGUGAACCUCCGAGUCGGGGCGCCUGUGUCAUACAUCAGCGCCGUCGGGCUCUCUAUUGGGGAUGUUGUGCAUUCCCAUCAUUUCUGCAUUUCUGUUUUUCUGGGAGGUGCAUCCGGGCGGUUGGUGCAUCCACUGCCAUGCUCUCGUUGGGGAUUUUUCCAUUUUUCUUCUUUCAUUGUCUGCAGGGCCUCUGUUGGCAUGGCUUGGGACUUCCUCGGCGCCAGUCUUGUCGCUCUCCCUCUG